rnacentral:lncRNA from 1 species
AAAAUAAAAGGAGUUUUUCAACCCUAGGUUUACAGAUCGGAACUUGUAUGUGUCACCUGAGGACCCGCCGGAACCUCCGAUGACGGCAUGCAAGCCCGAAUUUGAGUUAAACAAGAGAAAAAUAAAAAAAAAGAUUUCAGAGAUUUUUUAACUUUCUUUCUUGUUGUUGAUGACUGAGGAUGGGGAGGAAGAGGUGAAGGAGAGGAAGAAAAGAAAAAAAAAGGGGAGAGAAAGAGCCGCGGCGGCGCCGGUUGUGGAAGCGGCGUUCGAGAGGAAGAAGAAGAGAAGAGAGGAAAAGAAUUAGAGAGAAGGGAGAGGUUUUAGAGAGAAGUCAGAGAGAGUUGAGAGGAGAGGAGGAGAGGAGAGAGGGUGG